AGCGAACGCUGGCGGCAGGCCUAACACAUGCAAGUCGAACGAAGUCUUCGGACUUAGUGGCGGACGGGUGAGUAACACGUGGGAACGUGCCUUUAGGUUCGGAAUAACUCAGGGAAACUUGUGCUAAUACCGAAUGUGCCCUUCGGGGGAAAGAUUUAUCGCCUUUAGAGCGGCCCGCGUCUGAUUAGCUAGGUGGUGAGGUAAAGGCUCACCAAGGCGACGAUCAGUAGCUGGGCUGUGAGGAUGACCAGCCACAUUGGGACUGAGACACGGCCCAAACUCCUACGGGAGGCAGCAGUGGGGAAUCUUGCGCAAUGGGCGAAAGCCUGACGCAGCCAUGCCGCGUGGAUGAUGAAGGUCUUAGGAUUGUAAAAUCCUUUCACCGGUGAAGAUAAUGACUGUAGCCGGAGAAGAAGCCCCGGCUAACUUCGUGCCAGCCGCCGCCGUAACAC
rnacentral:rRNA from 1 species